AGUGAACGCUGGCGGUAGGCCUAACACAUGCAAGUCGAACGGCAGCACAGUAAGAGCUUGCUCUUACGGGUGGCGAGUGGCGGACGGGUGAGGAAUACAUCGGAAUCUACUUUUUCGUGGGGGAUAACGUAGGGAAACUUACGCUAAUACCGCAUACGACCUACGGGUGAAAUCAGGGGAUCUUCGGACCUUGCGCGAUUGAAUGAGCCGAUGCCGGAUUAGCUAGUUGGCGGGGUAAAGGCCCACCAAGGCGACGAUCCGUAGCUGGUCUGAGAGGAUGAUCAGCCACACUGGAACUGAGACACGGUCCAGACUCCUACGGGAGGCAGCAGUGGGGAAUAUUGGACAAUGGGCGAAAGCCUGAUCCAGCCAUACCGCGUGGGUGAAGAAGGCCUUCGGGUUGUAAAGCCCUUUUGUUGGGAAAGAAAAGCAGCAGGUUAAUACCCCGCUGUUCUGACGGUACCCAAAGAAUAAGCACCGGCUAACUUCGUG
rnacentral:rRNA from 1 species